AUGAACGCUGGCGGCGUGCCUCAUACAUGCAAGUCGAGCGCACAGACGAGGAGCUUGCUCCUCUGACGUUAGCGGCGGACGGGUGAGUAACACGUGGAUAACCUACCUAUAAGACUGGGAUAACUUCGGGAAACCGGAGCUAAUACCGGAUAAUAUAUUGAACCGCAUGGUUCAAUAGUGAAAGACGGUUUUGCUGUCACUUAUAGAUGGAUCCGCGCCGCAUUAGCUAGUUGGUAAGGUAACGGCUUACCAAGGCAACGAUGCGUAGCCGACCUGAGAGGGUGAUCGGCCACACUGGAACUGAGACACGGUCCAGACUCCUACGGGAGGCAGCAGUAGGGAAUCUUCCGCAAUGGGCGAAAGCCUGACGGAGCAACGCCGCGUGAGUGAUGAAGGUCUUCGGAUCGUAAAACUCUGUUAUUAGGGAAGAACAAAUGUGUAAAUAACUAUGCACGUCUUGACGGUACCUAAUCAGAAAGCCACGGCUAACUACGUG
rnacentral:rRNA from 1 species